rnacentral:rRNA from 1 species
UAGGGAAUCUUCGGCAAUGGGGGGAACCCUGACCGAGCAACGCCGCGUGUGUGAAGAAGGUUUUUGGAUCGUAAAGUUCUGUUGUUAAGGAAGAACGAGUGUGAGAAUGGAAAGUUCAUACUGUGACGGUACUUAACCAGAAAGGGACGGCUAACUACGUGCCAGCAUCCGCGGUAAUACGUAGGUCCCGAGCGUUGUCCAGAUUUAUUGGGCGUAAAGCGAGCGCAGGGGGUUAGAUGAGUCUGAAGUUAAAGGCAGUGGCUCAACCAUUGUAGGCUUUGGAAACUGUUUAACUUGAGUGCAGAAGGGGAGAGUGGAAUUCCAUGUGUAGCGGUGAAAUGCGUAGAUAUAUGGAGGAACACCGGUGGCGAAAGCGGCUCUCUGGUCUGUAACUGACGCUGAGGCUCGAAAGCGUGGGGAGCGAACAGG